CGAGGGGCAGCAUGACUGUAGCAAUACAGUUGAUGGCGACCGGCAAACGGGUGCGGAACACGUACGCAACCUUCCUUUAAGUGUGGGAUAGCCCGGGGAAACCCGGAUUAAUACCACGUAAUAUCAUGAGAUGGCAUCGUUUUAUGAUUAUAGCUCCGGCGCUUAAAGAUGGGCGUGCGCCUGAUUAGGUAGUUGGCGGGGUAAUGGCCCACCAAGCCUACGAUCAGUAACUGGUGUGAGAGCACGACCAGUCACACGGGCACUGAGACACGGGCCCGACUCCUACGGGAGGCAGCAGUAAGGAAUAUUGGUCAAUGGACGCAAGUCUGAACCAGCCAUGCCGCGUGGAGGAUGAAGGUCCUCUGGAUUGUAAACUUCUUUUAUCUGGGAAGAAACCUGUCUUUUCUUGGGCAGUUGACGGUACCAGGUGAAUAAGCACCGGCUAACUCCGUGCCAGCAGCCGCGGUAAUACGGAGGGUGCAAGCGUUAUCCGGAUUCACUGGGUUUAAAGGGUGCGUAGGUGGGCUAGUAAGUCCGUGGUGAAAUCUCUGAGCUUAACUCGGAAACUGCCGUGGAUACUAUUAGUCUUGAAUAUCGUGGAGGUAAGCGGAAUAUGUCAUGUAGCGGUGAAAUGCUUAGAUAUGACAUAGAACACCGAUAGCGAAGGCAGCUUGCUACACGAUCAUUGACACUGAGGCACGAAAGCGUGGGGAUCAAACAGGAUUAGAUACCCUGGUAGUCCACGCCCUAAACGAUGGAUACUCGACAUACGCGAUACACAGUGUGUGUCUGAGCGAAAGCAUUAAGUAUCCCACCUGGGAAGUAC
rnacentral:rRNA from 1 species